rnacentral:rRNA from 1 species
UGGGGAAUAUUGCACAAUGGGCGCAAGCCUGAUGCAGCAACGCCGCGUGAACGAUGAAGGUCUUCGGAUCGUAAAGUUCUGUUGCAGAGGAAGAUAAUGACGGUACCCUGUGAGGAAGCCCCGGCUAACUACGUGCCAGCAGCCGCGGUAAUACGUAGGGGGCUAGCGUUAUCCGGAAUUAUUGGGUUUAAAGGGUGCGCAGGUGGCUAAUCAGGUCAGUGGUGAAAAGCUAUGGCUCAACCAUGGUCUUGCCAUUGAAACCGUAUAGCUAGAGAGGAGACGAGGUAGGCGGAAUGUGUGGUGUAGCGGUGAAAUGCAUAGAUAUCACACAGAACUCCGAUUGCGAAGGCAGCUUACCAGGCUUUAUCUGACACUUAGGCACGACAGCGUGGGGAUCAAACAGG